rnacentral:pre_miRNA from 14 species
UUAGUGGUACAAUACCUCAGACUUUUCAGAUGUUCUAUAAAUUCACCUGGAAAUACUGAGGUUGCGUUUCACUGAAC